GUCCUUGUGCUGGCUGAGAUCGAUGGGAGUGUGCAGGGAUCUGCUGCAUCUCACUCCUGCUUCUCUUCCCCUGCUGUUUCUGUCUGUGCCAGUAAUGUUGCUUCCUCCCUCCUGCACGGCAUUCUCAGGGCCGGUGCAAGGAUUUUUGGGAACACAGGUGAAGAUGAUUUUGAUGCCUCUUCACCUUAGAGUUCCUCUUCCCUCCCUUCCAUGUCACUUU